AGCUUAUUUGUCAUUCUAAGUUGCAUAAAAUUUUUAAAUUUGUGUCAUGAACUUGUGGCUCACUACAUAUUUUGGAAAACUGUAAGUGAAGUCGUAUGUUUUGGAAAUGGACCUCUAGAGAUAACAUUCUGAUUACACCUCCAUUUUUUUAUAAUAAUCGACAAAAGAUAAGGGGUUGUAUAUAAUGCCUGGAAACUAAUUAGCGAGGCACAGUUGGCAUCUGGCUUUGGUGACAAUGAAGACUGUCCUCGUUUUAGCGGCGCUUAUAGGCCUGGUCGCCGCUGGUUACCCUCUAUUCAAUAACAAUGUGAAAACCAA
rnacentral:lncRNA from 1 species